rnacentral:rRNA from 1 species
CCUACGGGGGGCAGCAGUGAGGAAUAUUGGUCAAUGGGCGGAAGCCUGAACCAGCCAAGUAGCGUGCAGGAUGACGGCCCUACGGGUUGUAAACUGCUUUUAUACGGGAAUAACGCGCCUUACGUGUAGGGCUUUGCAUGUACCGUAUGAAUAAGGACCGGCUAAUUCCGUGCCAGCAGCCGCGGUAAUACGGAAGGUCCGGGCGUUAUCCGGUUUUUUUGGGUUAAAGGGGAGCGUGUCCGCAUGUCAAGCGUGCUGUGAAAUGUCCGGGCUCAACCCGGGCCUUGCAGCGCGAACUGGCUUGCUUGAGUCCGCGGAAGGCAGGCGGAAUUCGUCGUGUAGCGGUGAAAUGCUUAGAUAUUACGAAGAACCCCGAUUGCGAAGGCAGCUUGCUGCAGCGGAACUGACGCUGAUGCUCGAAAGCGCGGGUAUCGAACAGGAUUAGAUACCCGGGUAGUC